rnacentral:misc_RNA from 1 species
GAAUCGCGAAAUGUAUUGUGAAUUGCAGAAUUCAGUGAAUCAUCGAAUCUUUGAACGCACAUUGCACUCUUUGGUACUCCGAAGAGUAUGCAUGUUUGAGUAUCAAUAACCCCCUCUACACAUGAAUGAAUUUUCGUUCAGUGUAGGAUCUGAGUCUCCGUAUGACAUGUUGAGUCCUCUGUCAGAGCGGUUUCUUUAAAUAAAUGAUGCGGCCAGAAUCACGUAGUGGAUUUAGCAACAUAAUAAUUGCGGAAGCGAAAGCCUCUAAUUUUAUUGCUUGUUAAUAUCGUUUAAGCUGCGCGACUAGGCUUUUUGCAAAUACGAAUAGACGCCAAACGAAAAUCUGAUUUUCGCGGAAUCUAUUAUAUCUUGAUCUCAAAUCAUGUAGGACUACCCGCUG